AGAGUUUGAUCAUGGCUCAGAGCGAACGCUGGCGGCAGGCCUAACACAUGCAAGUCGAGCGCCCCGCAAGGGGAGCGGCAGACGGGAGAGUAACGCGUGGGAACGUACCUUUUGGUUCGGAACAACACAGGGAAACUUGUGCUAAUACCGGAUAAGCCCUUACGGGGAAAGAUUUAUCGCCGAAAGAUCGGCCCGCGUCUGAUUAGCUAGUUGGUAGGGUAACGGCCUACCAAGGCGACGAUCAGUAGCUGGUCUGAGAGGAUGAUCAGCCACAUUGGGACUGAGACACGGCCCAAACUCCUACGGGAGGCAGCAGUGGGGAAUAUUGGACAAUGGGCGCAAGCCUGAUCCAGCCAUGCCGCGUGAGUGAUGAAGGCCCUAGGGUUGUAAAGCUCUUUUGUGCGGGAAGAUAAUGACGGUACCGCAAGAAUAAGCCCCGGCUAACUUCGUGCCAGCAGCCGCGGUAAUACGAAGGGGGCUAGCGUUGCUCGGAAUCACUGGGCGUAAAGGGUGCGUAGGCGGGUCUUUAAGUCAGGGGUGAAAUCCUGGAGCUCAACUCCAGAACUGCCUUUGAUACUGAGGAUCUUGAGUUCGGGAGAGGUGAGUGGAACUGCGAGUGUAGAGGUGAAAUUCGUAGAUAUUCGCAAGAACACCAGUGGCGAAGGCGGCUCACUGGCCCGAUACUGACGCUGAGGCACGAAAGCGUGGGGAGCAAACAGGAUUAGAUACCCUAGUAGUCC
rnacentral:rRNA from 1 species